GGAGGCUGAGGCAUGAGAAUCGCUUAAACCUCCGAGGCGGAGGCUGCAAUGAGCUGAGAUGGUACCACUGCACUCCAGCCUGGGUGACAGAGCUGGGUGGUGGCUCAAGAUAUGUUUUGUAAACCUGAAGAUUUGAGAUCAUAUAAGCCAAAUAGAAACUUAAUUGGCAUUCAUAACUUUUGGUUCUAGAGACUCCAUGAUCAACUAAGAGCCACCAAGCAUUUCCCAUGUAGACUAUUUUGACCAUGCUGACUCUACUGACACUGUGGUUACUGAAUUCAUUUUAUCUCUAGAAAUUAAUUCUUACUAAUGGAUGUCUGUCACUGUAAGAUCCUUCUAUCCUCUGAAAUAAGGAGAACAUUUUAACUUCAGUAGUUUAAACUAGUGUCCUAAACUAUAGCAUUCAAAAUGAGAUAAUAUGCUAAAGUAAUACACAAACCAAAAAUCCCAGUGGCUAACACAAAAAGUUUUUCUUACUCAUUUUACAUAUCCAGAGUAAGUCAGUAAUAGACGCAGACACACCCAGAGACCAAGGAUGAGUUGUGAUCUGUCUGCACACAUAGUUCACAAUGCCUGAAUGGAGCUGGCUUGAAAUCCUCUUGUUUAUGGCAGUACAUAUCGGUUAUGAUUCAAAAAAUAUAGCCCAUUUCCAAAAACCUGCAACAAAGAGAUACUUUCUCAGGUGAUUGUUCAGAUCAUUAUUCAUUACAAAGUGUCAGUUUUGUCUUUAUUGAUCCUCAUUAUUGUAAGAAAGUAUGUGGUCUUGUCUCCAUUCUAUUAAAACAACAUUGUAGAGAUUAGCACUGAGUCUUUCCAGCCAUAUGCAUCUGUUCAUUUCCGUCUCCAGCUUGAGUUUUUCUGUGUAUUACAAAAUAAGAAAACAAAAAUGACACAAUAAUCUAUUUUGUCUGGUUUUGCUCUUUAUUAGUAGAAAUAGACAAGUGAGGAGUUGGAGGAAGAAAUUGCUUCUGAUCUGUUUUAGAUACAGAUGAAACUCUCCCUCCCUCCCCGCCCCACCCAAUCUUUCUCUGUCUCCCUCCCUGAGCCUAUUCUUGCUUCUUCCCUUUACAAAUAAUUAACUGCUCAGGUCAUGUUGAACCAAAAAAUAGCAUCUGUAGCCCCUGUGUGCUUACUUUAAGUAUAUGUUACUGAAAAAUGCGGAGUGAGCACUUACAACUCAUUCUCCUGGGAAGCACAGUGAUACUAUACCCCAAAUGCUUUUCUUUAUCAUUUUAAUUUUUAUCUUCUUUACUUACAUUUCCAACAUCAGUUAAGAGGGUCUUGUAGUUUUCUAACUGAAAGGAGAUUGUAAAAUCUCCUUGCUCAAAACUCAGAUGCAGAAUAUUAUUUUUACUACAAUAAAUACAUCUACAACAAUGGUAUUAUAUCUGGUUUAUUUCAAAGUCAAGUUCUAAUAUAGGUAAACAAAUAUACUAAUAAAGAGAUAAUGCUUUUCUCAUGAAAUGUAUAAUCUAGUAGGAAUAAAGAUAAACAAUUUUUUUAAAAAUUCUAUUUCAUUAAGCAAAAAUGCAACUCAGAAGAAUAAUGUAUAUUAGCAGUCAUUUACUAUUUUUCAAUUAAAUUCCGAUAUAUAUGUAAAGUAAAUUAUUACUAAUAUCAAACAUAGUUUAAAGAAUUAGUGACUAUGUGCACUUGGAUCUCCAUAUGUAAUGUACUAUCAGCAUCUUCACAAACACAGUAAAUUUUACUACGCAAGUAAAACUUAUUUUACUAAACGAUGAUUACUCCUUCUAUAUUCAUAUUCCUAAACACAUACAGUUUCUUAAUGUAAUUAAGUUUUUAACUAAAAAAAGGGAAAUGCAUUAUUGAGGCGAUAGGAUUACUGGGUGGCUAUAAACACAUCUGCUGCACAGCUGACAUUUAUCUUCUACAAUGAGCAAUGACAAUUUUAUUUUUUAAUAAUCAGUAUGGACUAAUCCUGAUGAUUUUUUUUUAACAUUUUCAAAUAGGGCUGCAUAUGGCUUAAAAUUAAUAUAUACAUGUGUACCUAUAUAAUAUUCUUAUUUAUUAAUGGACUUCCUACAUAGCUCAUAUUGACGUUAGAUUUAAAUGAAAUUCCAGAAGGGUUUUCUAUAGGUAAGUCAUACAUUGGAUUUCCAUAUUACCUAUGAUUAUUGAAGUAUUUAUUUCUGUUUUUAAGACUUCAGAGCAAUUUUGCUGGUCAUUUGUUUUCUGUGUUUUUAUUUUGAAAUUGUUCUUUGAGGCAUUGUCCUAUUACAUUUUUAAGGUAUGUUAAUAAAAUAAUAUUUUUAA
rnacentral:lncRNA from 1 species